CAUAGCCUUAAGGAGGUUCGAUUUAAGGUAAGCCCUGCCCGGUGAAAAAGUUUUUAACGGCCGCAGUACCCUGACUGUGCUAAGGUAGCGUAAUCAGUUGGCUUUUANAUGGAGUCGAGAUGNAUGGGUCUUCGGGGGAAAACUGUCUCAAGUUCACUUUUUUGAAUUUCCUUAGAGGGUGAAAAUUCCCUCGAUCAAGAUAAAAGACGAGAAGACCCUUAGAGUCUUUACUAAGUAGUGUAUNUCACUUAGAAGUUUUUGUNGGGGCGACAAAGAGGCAUAAAUAAUUUACUUAACCCUCUAUUUAUAUUUCUUACCGGACGAGAAUGCUAAGAAAGAUAAGACUACCUUAGGGAUAACAGCAUUAUUUUUUUAUAAGCUUGUGACCUCGAUGUUGGACUAGGGACCUAGUGGCUAGCCGCCAGUAAGGCAAGUUCUGUUCGAACUUCUUUUCCCUACGUGAUCU
rnacentral:rRNA from 1 species